CAGCAGCCGCGGUAAUACCGGCGGCCCGAGUGGCGGUCACUAUUAUUGGGCUUAAAGCGUCCGUAGCCGGGUUGGGAAGUCCUCCGGGAAAUCUGGCCGCUUAAAGGUCAGAAUGCCGGAGGAUACUCCCAGCCUAGGGAGCGGGGGAGGCCGAGGGUAUUCCCGGAGUAGGGGUGAAAUCCUAUAAUCCCGGGAGGACCACCUGUGGCGAAGGCGCUCGGCUGGAACGCGUCCGACGGUGAGGGACGAAGGCCAGGGGAGCAAACCGGAUUAGAUACCCGGGUAGUCCUGGCUGUAAACGAUGCGGACUUUGUGUCGGACAAGCUAUGAGCUUGUCCGGUGCCGGAGGGAAACCGUUAAGUCCGCCGCCUGGGGAGUACGGCCGCAAGGCUGAAACUUAAAGGAAUUGGCGGG
rnacentral:rRNA from 1 species